rnacentral:rRNA from 1 species
GACGAACGCUGGCGGCGCGCUUAACACAUGCAAGUCGAGCGAAGCGGCGGACGGGUGAGUACCACGUGAGUACCCUGCCUUAGACAUUGGGAUUGCCUCGGGCAACCGGGCUUAAUACCAAAUGGUCUAAGAUGGACUCGCGUCCCAUUAGCUAGUUGGUGAGGUAACGGCCCACCAAGGCGACGAUGGGUAGCCGGCCUGAGAGGGUGAACGGCCACAUUGGAACUGAGAAACGGUCCAAACUAUACGGGAGGCAGCAGGGGGGAUUAUUGCACAAUGGAGGGAACUCUGAUGCAGCGACGCCGCGUGAACGAAGAAGGCUUUCGAGUCGGAAAGUUCUUUUAUAUGGGAAGCGGUACCAUAAGAAAAAGCCCCGGCUAACUACGUGCCAGCAGCCGCGGUAAUAC